GCCUCUAGUGGACACUUAAGGAACUGCAGUUUUUUUUUAACUCUUUCACAUGGGCUUCAUAUUUUAAGAUUGGAGGUUGCUGUUUGUUAAAUAACUGGUGUGUGUUUUCGUACCUCGUUGGUCUGGUUGGGUUUGAUGUUCGGUCCUCGGACCAUGAGAGGAACUCUGAUGUCAAACUCGUAGAGCUGCCGCUUAUCCAGAGGAAGAGAGAACUGACCUGAAACAGACGAAGGGACAACAUGUUCUUUUAAAGUCGUCCACGGACAGUAAAGUUCUCCACCUGCGAUAAAACCACAGGAAACACACAAUGAGGUGACUGGUUCUCAACUGGUCCAGCCUCAGGACCAAUCACCAGCGAGUGAUGACCAGCGUUAAGGUGCGUUACCGCCACCUACUGUGUUGGAGUGUAAAUAACUUAAGGUCUACAACGAGCACACGGCGUCAGAGGAAACAUGUCCACUGCAACCCACCAGGGAGGUAAAAAUAAACCGAGGGUAUCCAAGGAGCGUCUCCAUUCCUCUGCUAUUUAUAACACAGAGGACGACGAACUAAAGCGUCUGCACACGAUAACAAACACACUUAAAGGUCUCUGACUCACUCACCUGGUUGAGGUACUUCCCAGCAAAGAAGGUCUGGUACCCGUGGUUCUUCAGUAUGGCGGGGAAGGUGUGAGCCUCCUCGCUCUUCUGCCACUGUGUGCUGCUGCAGUUCCCCUCUAUCGUGUUGUUGAUGACAUGGUGGUUGUGGGGAUACUUCCCCGUCAGGAUGCUGGCUCGGCUGGGACAGCACAGCGGGCUCGCCACAAACUGGAGGAGGACGGAUGAUGGCUUAAUAAACCAGACUACUGUGUUCUUUUUAAUCCUUAUUAGACAUCAUAGGUUAUAAAAAGAGACGGCCAUGAUGCUGCUUUUACUCACUGCGUUUGAGAAUGAUAUCCCUGCAUCACCAAUGAGCUUUUUCGUCUUCUUGAGUGGACUCUGAAGGAACAGAUUUAAUGUGAUGAGACCUCAAGUCUUAUAAAAACCUUCAGGAUCAUUUAUGAAACUGUUCCUGACCAACUUACAGACUGUUUUUAAAGAUUAAAACUAUUCAUAGCAUGUACCUAAUAAAUCUCUGGUCUUACAAGAGGUCAACAAACAGUUCCAGCUUUAAAAAGUUUGAACAUUUAUCAUGAGUUGUAUAAAUAUUCUCGACUGUAACUUCCAGUCAAAUAUAAACAAGCUAACUGAGCAGGACUCCUUCGUUUCUCAGAAACCGUGAGGGACAUGUGUUCCUCUAUAUUCUGAACUUCUAUGGAGGAAACAAUGAAUCAAUUGUUCCCCAAAAAUAAUCAGCAGAUUAAUCUAUAAGUCUAAUAAUCGGCAGUAGCUGCAGCCGUGGUUUGUGGUCGUGUUGGGCUGAUGUUCUGCUGCAUAAGGAGUUCUUGUUGUGAUUAUUGUUAUUGACAAUUUAAAGAUUUAGCCAAAAGGUUAAAGUUCAAGAUCAAGGACCAAUCAGAGUAAUCUGAAGCAGACUUAAAGGAGGACACAGACUCAGACUGAUUUAUUUACUCAGACAGAUUAUCUCUUUCACAAUAACUUCCAUUUUUAUUACAUCUUGGUUCAUGAAAGGCCUCAAAAUUGGGAACCAGUCUUUUGUAGAACCAAAGAGGACCCACAUUUAUUUGAGUUUACCCCGACUAAAGACAGAAACUGAUUUUUUUUCAGUAGGGGUGGACAUUCCAAGCAAAAAUACUAUUCGAUGGAACUAAAAAGGUGAAAAAUAUUGGAAGAAUUGGACGACUUAUAUGAACAUGUGAUGUUCAUGUAUUCUCCCGUAGACACUCUUGAACUAACAGAACCUUCAGGAUUUAAAAUAAAUUCUUGGACACUUAGGAACUUGUCAUUCAUACUAACACCACUCACCACCCCAUUAUUUAUUAUGUUUUAUAAUUUUAUUCUCUUAUUAUUUCUUUCCCUUAUUACGUAUAUCAUGUCAAACAUUGUACCUCUGUCUGGAUGACCCGUCUGUCUUAUGUUGUCAGUAUUGUUUGUUGUAUAUUUGUUACAAAACAACAAUAAUAAACGAUUCGAUAGUCACUGCUAACUGUUAGCAGAACCCUGGGGUUCCCAAACUUUUCAGCCCAUGACCCCCAUAAUAAAGAUGCCAAAGACUCACGA